CCUACGGGUGGCAGCCGUGAGGAAUAUUGGUCAAUGGGCGCGAGCCUGAACCAGCCAAGUCGCGUGCAGGAAGACGGUCCUCUGGGUUGUAAACCUCUUUUGUCGGGGAUCAAAAGACGCCCCGCGUGGCGUUCCGAGCGUACCCUAAGAACAAGCAUCGGCUAAUUCCGUGCCAGCAGCCGCGGUACUACGGAGAAUGCGCGCGUUAUCCGUAUUUAUUGGGUUUAAAGGGGGCGCAGGCGGAAGAUAAAGACAGCGGUAAAAUUGAGAGGCUCAACCGCUUCGCGCCGUUGAACCUGGUUUACUUGAGUGAGUGAGAGGUAUGCGGAAUGCGUGGUGUAGCGGUGAAAUGCAUAGAUAUCACGAAGAACUCCGAGUGCGAAGGCAGCAUACCGGCGCUCAACUGACGCUCAGGCACGAAAGUGGGGGUAUCGAACAGGAUUAGAUACCCUAGUAGUC
rnacentral:rRNA from 1 species